rnacentral:rRNA from 1 species
UAGGGAAUCUUCCGCAAUGGACGAAAGUCUGACGGAGCAACGCCGCGUGAACGAUGAAGGCCUUCGGGUCGUAAAGUUCUGUUGUUAGGGAAGAACAAGUAUCGGAGUAACUGCCGGUACCUUGACGGUACCUAACCAGAAAGCCACGGCUAACUACGUGCCAGCAGCCGCGGUAAUACGUAGGUGGCAAGCGUUGUCCGGAAUUAUUGGGCGUAAAGCGCGCGCAGGCGGUCCUUUAAGUCUGAUGUGAAAGCCCACGGCUCAACCGUGGAGGGUCAUUGGAAACUGGGGGACUUGAGUACAGAAGAGGAAAGCGGAAUUCCACGUGUAGCGGUGAAAUGCGUAGAGAUGUGGAGGAACACCAGUGGCGAAGGCGGCUUUCUGGUCUGUAACUGACGCUGAGGCGCGAAAGCGUGGGGAGCAAACA